CGGCUGCAGUGGGGAAUUUUGGACAAUGGACGAAAGUCUGAUCCAGCCAUGCCGCGUGCGGGAAGAAGGCCUUCGGGUUGUAAACCGCUUUUGUCAGGGAAGAAAUCUUCUGGGUUAAUACCUCGGGAGGAUGACGGUACCUGAAGAAUAAGCACCGGCUAACUACGUGCCAGCAGCCGCGGUAAUACGUAGGGUGCAAGCGUUAAUCGGAAUUACUGGGCGUAAAGCGUGCGCAGGCGGUUAUGUAAGACAGAUGUGAAAUCCCCGGGCUCAACCUGGGAACUGCAUUUGUGACUGCAUAGCUUGAGUGCGGCAGAGGGGGAUGGAAUUCCGCGUGUAGCAGUGAAAUGCGUAGAUAUGCGGAGGAACACCGAUGGCGAAGGCAAUCCCCUGGGCCUGCACUGACGCUCAUGCACGAAAGCGUGGGGAGCAAACAGGAUUAGAUACCCUGGUAGUC
rnacentral:rRNA from 1 species